UAUUUAAAACUAAAUGGCAAAAUUUUAAUACUUCAAUAUGUAUCUGAAAUGGCAAAAGCUGGCGAACAGGCCAAACUAUAUACUAGCGUCUAGCCUGUAUCGGGAGCCUUGAUCCCGAACACGGCAACCGUAUGACGCCGGUAAAGUGUAAACCAUAGAUAAACAGUUUAUAGGGGUUUAUAGGGGUAAACAUAACCACAAUAAUUUGAUAUUUGAAGUUCUUUUGAACUUUUAGUUAUUUCGUAGUAGGACUUGCUUGUGUUUUGUGUGUAAGACUUUAAAUCUAUUCGUUUGACUAUUUAUUAAUUUGAUUUGUAAUAAUUAUAAAGUGAUUUUAAAAAAAUUACUCAUCAGUGCGGGAAAUGUUUGAAACAAACAUGAAACAUUUACAUUUAAAAUUUGUAAUUUAUAGUUUUCAAAUCUAUAACCAAUGGAUUUUCAUGAAGAUUCUCCAGAAGAAGAUCAGCUGUAUUGUUGAAUGUUAUGAAAACGAGGAAUGUGAUGCAAUUAUUACACAACUUGCUAAAAAACAAAAAACAGGUUCUUCGAUUGAGGAGCGACAGCAAAGCCUCUUAGUGCAAUUUCAAGAAACGUUACAUUCUGGUAACUCACACAAGAAGUUAGAUGCCAUUGAAAAAGUUUUAAAUUCCCUUCCUCCAACUUUAGCUGCAAUAGAGAAUAUUAAUAUAAAUAAAAAUAGUUUUUCAUCUUCUAAUAAAAAUAAUGUUCAUAAUGGAAAAAUUGGACCUCAAAGAAGAUUUGGGUCCACAAAAAAGAAAUCAAAAAAAUCUGUUUUAUCCCUCAGGAAACCUUCUCAACAGGAAUCGAAUACCAUAGUUAUUCAAAUACUUAACCAUAAAUAAUAAGUACUCAAUUUGUAUUUUAGUUGUUUAGUUAUGUCGUAACUAGAUAUUAUUUUUUUACUAAUUUUUAAUAUUUAAAUUAUUUUUUUUUUGUAAAAAAAUAUAUGAGCAGCUUUUUUUAACAUAAUAUUUAUAAUUUUCUUCACGUUUCUGUGGAAAUAAUUAUUUAGAAUUAGGCUCUUCAAGUCAUAUUCUAAUUGUAAAAAACAUGUAUUUACAGAGUGUCUCAUUUAAAAGUAUAAACAUUUACAUAUAGGCUUAUAUACAUUUUCAUCAAAACCUCAUUUUAUUGGAGUUCAACCAAACUUUGGAUUUGGGGAUUUUUAAUUAAGGAUUUCCUUCUUUUCAAUAAAAAAAACCUACUAUUAUUUUUCGUUGUUCUUCACCCAAUUUAGCAUCGAAGAUGCAAUCGAACUGGUUUUCAAUAUUUAAAUAGACCUCGGUGACCUCUAUCUUUUGAGACCGUCGGUUUGAUUUAAAUCAGUCAAAAAGCAAAAUAAUGAUUACGCUGUUACACUAUUAAAUGAGACACGCUGUAUGUAGAUAGGUGAAAGUAUAUGUGAACAAAUGAAUAUAUUUAAUUUAUUUUUA